UACGAAGGGAGCUAGCGUUGUUCGGAAUCACUGGGCGUAAAGCGCAUGUAGGCGGAUUUGUCAGUCAGGGGUGAAAUCCCGGGGCUCAACCUCGGAACUGCCUUUGAUACAGCAAGUCUUGAGUUCGAGAGAGGUGGGUGGAAUUCCUAGUGUAGAGGUGAAAUUCGUAGAUAUUAGGAAGAACACCGGUGGCGAAGGCGGCCCACUGGCUCGAUACUGACGCUGAGGUGCGAAAGCGUGGGGAGCAAACAGG
rnacentral:rRNA from 1 species